GCGGCUGCCCAACAACGUUAUAAGGGAGCAUUGCGCAAGUUUAAAUGAGCAUGUUCCCUAACUGAUCAGCAACAUAACAAAACAACGUUAACUGGGACGACUUUAAGUGAGGAGUUACUGUACCUACAUGUAGAACAGAACAAGCUUGUGGUAAUAGUGAUAUUCCAGCAUGAGUGAAAAGGAAAGUGUUAAACAACAAAGUUGAAAACCUACUGAUAAAGAUAUAUACAACAUAUUCUUAGAGUUAAGUACCUUAGAACUGAAAAAACAUUGGUUAGCUAUUCUCCCCUAGUAAUCCAUAUAUGGCAUGUUUACCCACAGUCCCCUCUAGCCCAUUUCUGUAGCCUCACCUCCUUUAGGAAUGAAACUUAGGUGGAGUCUUUCCUCUCUUUUCAGCCAAUCUCUUUUCAGUUCCAAUAUAAAAGCAAAGAAAACCUCCUCAUCAGAAGUCCUAGGUUUGUGGGUGCAGCAACAAGGUUAUCUCUCCAUGUUCCCAAUGAAGGCUUGAUAUCUUAGCUAGAAGAAACAUUACUACAGGUUCUUCAGAUUGCCUAACUGUCUGCUGAGGGCUGCUGGAGAAUAGAACUGAAAAGGAAAAAAAUGUUCACGCUAUGUGGUCUCAGAUCCAAUGAAAAUGCAGAUUGCUUCAGCUGGGGAUAAAAGAACUUAAAAAAAAAAGAGCUUGUAGUCUUGGAGCUACUAUUAAAAGGGGAGAUGAAUCAUGAGAGACCAUUUCAUGCCAAGGUACAUUAGAGAGUAGAAUCUCAAAGAGCUAUUAACCCUCAGUAAGAGUUGUGUGGAAGUCCUUUGCUGUCUGGACAGAAGCAUGCAUAUAAAUUUAAUACUGUUUGUCCUUCGACAGAGAAAAAAGAUUACUUCUAUAUCCUUAACAUCUUGUCUCUACUAACAUGAAAUGAUACUCCACUGUGUUGCCGCCACCGUAAUCCUUUCCUGUCAACAGAAUAGCAAUGAUAGAUGUAUAAUUUUGAAAGGUUUUGCUGUGGAAAGAAAAAAAUGGUCUGCAAUCGUGUGCAUGUUUUAUGUACGUUUCUUUUAGAUCUUGUCUCCUUCAUUGCAAAUCAUUAUGCUGGUCAAGGCGGGUCUUUUGGGAAGUGUAUUAUAGUUUGUUUGUUUUUUAUAGAAUUAUAAAAGCUUUUGAAAAAUUCCUGCAUUGAAUCUCCCUUUCCAAAGUUUCUCUAGAUUAGCUGAGGUUUGAUUUUGAUGUAUUUAAUAUAAUUGUAGUUCCAGAGCUGAAUGUGAUUCACAAUACAUGGUACUAGAAAAGCAUAACUGUGCAAGAUUCUGUGAUCUUUUUAACUCAGACCUCAUAUUCUACAGACACUUUUGUGGCCCAGUCCUUACUCAUGGAAGUAAACCUAUUGAGUUCACUGUGACUACUCAUAUAUGAAUAAGGAAUAUUUAUGUGAGUAUGAUUUGCACGAUCAAACCCUUUAAGAGUUUUCUAGUAAAUUAACAACUAUCUGCAUAAAUCUUAAGUAAAACGUUGCACUUUAAGAUUUGGAUCUUUUUUUAUAGACUCUAAUCUUCUUUUACUUGUUUCCUUUGAUAAAUUCAGUAUAAUGUGUGUGUGUGUGUGUGUUUAUAUUUGUAUAUUACAAAAAGUUAUUUAACAUGGUUAAGGUUCAUAAAAAUUCUUUCAUUAAAUGUCUUCUGAUUUUGAGAAGUCUUAAAAUGGAAAAUAUAGCCAAAAUAGAAAUCUGAAAUUAUGAUCAAGUUUAAUCCUGAAGAGUUUUAUUUUAAAAGAUUCUAGAUUUCAUCUGAGAGUUAAUCAUAGAACAUAUAUAGGUGAUCUAACUAAAUUCUAAAAGUAACAUUUAAAUGUUCAUUAUGGUUUGUCUAUAAUAAAAAUAUUAUGUACAUUUUGCCCCUCAAAAAGGCACAUUGUAUGAAUGCAAUAGCCUUACAGUGUUACAUAUGUUUUUCACUACAGCUAAUUAAAAUAUACUUCUGCUAAAAUGAAGUCAAUACGGUCUUUCUAACAGCAAGACAAGUACAGCAAGCCAGCAUCAUGCAACGUCCCCUUCAUAAGCUUACCUUAGUCUCUCAGUAUCCCACAUGUAGUUACACUUUCCAAGCUGUAGAAUGAUGUUCAGCUUGGACGUGCAUAACAAGAAGACACUGACCACCAGUUGAACCAUAUUACUGUAGAAUCUUCUCCCUAGAGCUGAUGAGCUGUUCUACAAUUUGUACUGAAUCCACCUCAUCAGCACCCUCCUCCAUCGUGGAGGUACUGCUCAGGAGUCUCCUGAUGGGGAGCACCCCAGCAACACUACUCGAAGAAAGAGGAGCAGUUACUCACCUUGUACGGUAACUGGAGUUCUUUGAGAUGUGUUUCCCUAUAGGUGAUCCACAACCUAACCUCCUUCCCCUCUGCCUUGGAGUCUCUUAUUGGACUUUCAUAGUUGAGAAGGAACUGGAGUGUUGGUGGUGAGUCCGCCCUGCCCUGUAUGCCAUUGUAGUAGAGCUUGAGGGUGCCUAGGGCACAAUUGCAGACCCAUUGUCACUGCUGAAGAAAAAUCUCUGAUCCAGAGUGCACAGGUGUGCACACACUGACAUGGAGCAGCCACAGGGGGACACAUCUCAAAGAACCGUUGCUAUUCAAGGUAAGUAACCUUUACUUUUCAGAAGCAUUUGAAUCUUUUAGAAUCUGUUCUGUUUCUAUUUCAAGUCUUUUUUUUAUCCUGUGACAAAAUGAAUGUUAAGACAAUCCCUCCUCAUGUCCUUAUCUAGAGUGAUUUACACACUUUCAUUUUUGGAAAAUUUUCAAAGUUCAUUGUGUGCAGAUGUAAAUCACUCCUUGGAACCAAAAAUACCUUCUCUUUAAA